AACGAACGCUGGCGGCAGGCUUAACACAUGCAAGUCGAACGGUUGUAGCAAUACAGCAGUGGCGCACGGGUGAGUAACGCGUGGAUAUCUGCCUUUUGGUUGGGAAUAACCCCGGGAAACUGGGGCUAAUACCGGAUGGUUCCUUCGGGAUAAAGAUUUAUCGCCAAAAGAUGAGUCCGCGUACGAUUAGCUAGUUGGUGAGGUAAUGGCUCACCAAGGCGACGAUCGUUAGCUGGUCUGAGAGGACGAUCAGCCACACUGGGACUGAGACACGGCCCAGACUCCUACGGGAGGCAGCAGUGGGGAAUAUUGGACAAUGGGGGCAACCCUGAUCCAGCCAUGCCGCGUGAGUGAUGAAGGCCUUCGGGUUGUAAAGCUCUUUUGGCGGGGACGAUGAUGACGGUACCCGCAGAAUAAGCCCCGGCUAACUUCGUGCCAGCCGCCGCUGUAA
rnacentral:rRNA from 1 species